GAGGAAAGGGCAUUGCGGACUAGUCUACGGCCGGUUAGAGUUGCAGGUACUGUUCACCCGGUAGCGGGUUAUUAGCGGACUGAAGGUAUACUAUUGUAGCUGAGCAAGGUGACCGUCAGCGUUCACGGCACCGUAUUUCUUCAUUGAUUCUAAAUUCCAUUCUGUAUAUUGCUGGUCUUGUAUUAGUAUUUAGAUCUUUAGAUGCUCGUGGCUUGUGACACCCCGAUUUCGGGCUGAGUCGGGAUGGUUUCCAUUAUUCUAUCAUGUUUACUUCGCACUUGUGAUUAUAUUAUCUGCGAAUUAGACUUA